CGGAGGGCACAUGCAUACAAUGAAAAGACUAGUCUAUUGAGCUCCUCAUGAUUAUAUGCUGUAGCCUUAUCACGAAAGAGAAGUUGUGGUAGAAAAAGCCUCCUGACACCUAUAAAGGCCCCCUUCAAAGCUAUGCACGUGUAUGCCUUUAAAUACGCAUACCCCCACCUUAAAAUCGCAGUGCCAUUGCCAUCUGUCGCAAAACGCCCCAAAAUAUUACUCAC
rnacentral:lncRNA from 1 species